rnacentral:misc_RNA from 1 species
CCGAUCGAAAUCAACGACCUUUUCGCGGCCUAUUCGAUUCCCAUCGCAUCUGCUGUGCUGGCGCAGGACCCAGAUCAGGCGGCACGCGCGGCGACACCCAUUCUGGCGGAAGGGAAUACGGUGGUCGUCAAGAUCAGUUCGCCGGAUAUUCUAAACAAGUCCGACGUCGGAGGCGUGCGCCUGAACCUGACCAGCGAGCG